GACGAACGCUGGCGGCGUGCGUAAUACAUGCAAGUAGAACGCUGAAGAGAGGAGCUUGCUCUUCUUGGAUGAGUUGCGAACGGGUGAGUAACGCGUAGGUAACCUGCCUUGUAGCGGGGGAUAACUAUUGGAAACGAUAGCUAAUACCGCAUAACAAUGGGUGACACAUGUCAUUUAUUUGAAAGGGGCAAUUGCUCCACUACAAGAUGGACCUGCGUUGUAUUAGCUAGUAGGUGAGGUAACGGCUCACCUAGGCGACGAUACAUAGCCGACCUGAGAGGGUGAUCGGCCACACUGGGACUGAGACACGGCCCAGACUCCUACGGGAGGCAGCAGUAGGGAAUCUUCGGCAAUGGGGGCAACCCUGACCGAGCAACGCCGCGUGAGUGAAGAAGGUUUUCGGAUCGUAAAGCUCUGUUGUAAGUCAAGAACGAGUGUGAGAGUGGAAAGUUCACACUGUGACGGUAGCUUACCAGAAAGGGACGGCUAACUACGUGCCAGCAGCCGCGGUAAUACGUAGGUCCCGAGCGUUGUCCGGAUUUAUUGGGCGUAAAGCGAGCGCAGGCGGUUUGAUAAGUCUGAAGUUAAAGGCUGUGGCUCAACCAUAGUUCGCUUUGGAAACUGUCAAACUUGAGUGCAGAAGGGGAGAGUGGAAUUCCAUGUGUAGCGGUGAAAUGCGUAGAUAUAUGGAGGAACACCGGUGGCGAAAGCGGCUCUCUGGUCUGUAACUGACGCUGAGGCUCGAAAGCGUGGGGGGCGAACAGG
rnacentral:rRNA from 1 species